rnacentral:tRNA from 1 species
GGGGCGAUGGCAGAGUGGUUAUUGCGUUAGACUUGAAAUCUAAUCUCUCCGGAGGCGGGGGUUCGAAUCCCCCUCGCUCCU